GGAAGCGUCAUGACGUGAGCUGGCGUCUAUGGAAGGGGGUGAGGCUUGCUCGGAAGCGCGGCUGUGAAAGCUCACUUAGGCGGUGUGCAAAGUCAGGGUUGAAAUCCUGGAGCUCAACUCCGUACCGGCCCUGGAUGCUGGCGAACUCGGUUCCGUGAGAGGUGAGUGGAACUGCGAGAGUAGAGGUGAAAUUCGUAGAUAUUCGCAAGAACACCAGUGGCGAAGGCGGCUCACGGGCCCGGUACUGACGCUGAGGUGCGAAAGCGUGGGGAGCAAACAGGAUUAGAUACCCGGGUAGUC
rnacentral:rRNA from 1 species